GACGAACGCUGGCGGCGUGCUUAACACAUGCAAGUCGAACGCUGAAGCCCUUCGGGGUGGAUGAGUGGCGAACGGGUGAGUAACACGUGGGUAAUCUGCCCUGCACUCUGGGAUAAGCCUUGGAAACGGGGUCUAAUACCGGAUAGGACACACCGCCGCAUGGUGUGCGUGUGGAAAGUUCCGGCGGUGCAGGUUGAGCCCGCGGCCUAUCAGCUUGUUGGUGGGGUGAUGGCCUACCAAGGCGACGACGGGUAGCCGGCCUGAGAGGGUGACCGGCCACACUGGGACUGAGACACGGCCCAGACUCCUACGGGAGGCAGCAGUGGGGAAUCUUGCGCAAUGGGCGAAAGCCUGACGCAGCAACGCCGCGUGGGGGAUGACGGCCUUCGGGUUGUAAACCUCUUUCGACCGGGACGAAGGAUUCGUUUGACGGUACCGGUAGAAGAAGCACCGGCUAACUACGUGCCAGCCGCCGCAGUAAUAC
rnacentral:rRNA from 1 species